AAGUAACCCUUUUUAAUACAUCUAUCAUCUCAAAUCAGCCGUAAAGGUUAGUUCACCAACUUUUGGGUAAACUAUCCCUUCAAAUGUUAGUUGAGGAAGGAUAUAAUCACUAUUUUAUUCCAGAAUAACUUUUUCAAAUAGUUUAAUGUUCUUUGUUUCAUAUAUUUCAUGUUGAUAUAUUGGAUUUCAUCUUAAUCCAUAUGCAGUUGGCAUACACUAAACAUUUUGCACAACUAUGUUUCUGUGGUGUCCUCUCUAGUCUGGGAUGAUGAGGGUGUUCGGUAGAUCAGGAUAAGAAGAAUGACUCACAGAGGUGUGAGUGGCACGGUGAGGACAGAGAAUGAGGUUACUGAUAGAGUUUCGAGGAGGCCCCUGACUCUGCUGGACAGGUUGCGACUGUCAGGACACCUGGGCCACUGGAUAGAGACGAGGCCCAUGCUGCCCUCUGGGCCGGCCUGCUAGGACUCCUGGCUGUGUCCCAACUCUGACCUCCAGCCUGAUCACUUGACUCAGAGGGCUCCUGUACUGCCAUGUGCACCAUACAGCUGACAGCAGCCAAUGGUGCUCUGUCCAUCAUCA